UGGGGAAUCCUGGUCAAUGGGCGAAAGCCUGAACCUGCGACGCCGCGUGAGUGAUGAAGGUCGUAAGAUCGUAAAACUCUUUUCAGGGAUCUUAAAGCCUGUCUGUCAACAACAGGCAGGUCUGACUCUCCCUGGAAGAAGCCCCAGCCAACUACGUGCCAGCAGCUGCGGUGAUACGUAGGGGGCGAGCGUUAUUCGGACUUACUGGGUGUAAAGGGUAUGUAGGCGGCCCUUCAAGUCGCGUGUCAAAGUCGAGUGCUCAACGCUGGG
rnacentral:rRNA from 1 species